rnacentral:lncRNA from 1 species
CUAACACAGAUGCAGAUACUCAAAGCUGACCAUUAGACUGAGCCCAGGAAUCUUAAUGGAUAGGGAAAGGACUGAAGGAGCUGAAGGGUAUUGCAACCCCAUAGGAAAAACAACAGUAUCAAUUAACAGGACCACUCAACGACUGCCUCAUCUGGCAUAACUGAGAGGGGAGCAUUUGGUCCUGUACAGGCUUAUGCCUCAGAGAAAGGGGAUAUUGGAGGGGUGAGGUGGCAACUUGACAGUGGUUGGAAGGAGAGCAUGAAUGAACCAGUCAAGUUGCCACUCUUAUAGAAGAAGCCAUUGAUAUUUUAUAGAUGAACUAGCGUACAAAGAUUAAAUGUAGGUUUAAUGACAAUCAGGAGAUCUUUGAAAUGGAUAUAUUAAUAUCAAAUGAUUCUUGUCAUCCUUGUAAUCACAGGUUUCUUAGAUAACAUUAGAUAAGACAUGCAGUUACAGGUUUUGUGUGCAAGUCAUGAAACAAACUACAUUUGUUCGAAUAAGCAAUUUUUUUCCCUAGGAGUUUUAUUUUAUUGUUAUGAGUUUUCAAGAUAGGGUCCCACUAUGUGGCUUUGGCUGACUAGGGCUUGUUGUAUAGAUCAAGGUGGCCUUGAAUAUGUCCUGUUCCUUGACUUUUUAUUUUAUUUUAUUUUAAAUUUAUUUUUUACACUUCAUAUUCCAUUCCCUGCCCCCAUCCACCUUUUGUCUGCUCCAUAUACAACUACUUCCCACAGCACCCCACCUCCAUGUGAAUGCCUACACCCCCCUCCCCACCUGACCUCUAACCUCCCUGGAGCCUCCAGUCUCUUGAGGGUUAGGUGCACCAUCUCCGAAUGAACACAGACCCAGCAGUGCUCUACUGUAUGUGGGUUGGUGCCCAUAUCAGCUGGUGUAUGCUGGAUGUUUGGUGGUCCAGUGUUUGAGAGAUCUUGGGGGUCCAGAUUAAUUGAGACUGCUGGUCCUCCUACAGGAUCACCCUUCUCCUCAGCUUCUCUCAGCCUUCCCUAAUUCAACAACAGUGGUCAGCGUCUUCUGUCCAUUGAUUGGGUGCAAAUAUCUGCAUCUGACUCUUUCAGCUGCUCCUUGGGUCUAUCGGAGAGCAACCAUGAUAGAUCCUUUCUUGUGAGCUCUCCAUAGCCUCAGUAAUAGUGUCAGGCCUUGGGACCUCCCAUUGAGCUGGAUCCUACUUUGGGCCUGUGGCUGGACCUUCUUUUCUUCAGGCUCACCUCCAUUUCCAUCCCUGUAAUUCUUUCAGACAGGAACAAUUGUGGGUCAGAGAUGUGACUGUGGGAUGGCAAUCCCAUCUCUCACUUUAUGUCCCGUCUUCCUGCUGGAGGUGGGCUCUAUAAGUUCCCUCUCCUUACUGUCCAGCAUUUCAUCUAAUUUUCCUUCCUUUGAGUCCUGGGAGUCUCCCACCUCCCAGGUCUCUGGUGCAUUCUGGAGGGUCCUCCCAACCUCCUAUUUCCUGAGGUUGCCUGUUUGAUUCUUUCUGCUGGCCCUAGGGCUUCAGUCCUUUUCCUUCACCCAAUAUCAGACCAGGUUUCCCUUUCCCUGCCUUUCUACUCCCCCAUCCCAUCCACUUUCCCUCCUAUGUCCCUCCCUCUCUCUCCACUCAUGAUUAUUUUCUUCUCUCUCCCAAGUAGGACUGAAUCUUCUUCAUUUGGGCACUUCAGCUUGUUGAGAUUUUUGAGUUCUGUGGGCUGUAUCUUGGGUAUUCUGUAUGUUUUUUUUUGUUUGUUUGUUUUUUUUUUUUUGUUUUUUUUUUUUUUUUUUUUUGCGGGGGGAGGCUAAUAUCCCCUUAUUAGUGAGUACAUGCCAUGCAUCUCCUUUUGGGUCUGAGUUAGCUAACUCAGGAUGAUAUUUUCUAGUUCCAUCUAUUUGUCUGCAAAACUCGUGAUGUCCUAGGUUUUUUUUUUUUUGGGGGGGGGGGCGGCGGUUGUUUUUGUUUUUGUUUUUUGUUGUUUUUUUGUUUUUUGUUUUUUGUUUUUUUUGUUUUUGUUUUGUUUUGUUUUGUUUUGUUUUGUUUUGUUUUUGAGACAGGGUUUCUCUGUGUAGCCCUGGCUGUCAUUGAACUCACUCUGUAGACCAGACUGACCUCGAACUCAGAAAUCUGCCUGCCUCUGCCUCUGCCUCCUGAGUGCUGGGAUUAAAGGUGUGGGCCACCACACCCAGCUCGAUGCCCUAGUUCUUAAUAGCUAAGUAGUAUUGUAUUGUGUAAAUGAACCACAUUUUCUGUAUCCAUUCUUCUGUCAUGAGACAUCUAGGUUGUUUCCAACUUCUGGCUAUCACAAAUAAUGAUAAGCCGUUUUUAAAGUGUGAUAAAGGUGAUUAGAGUAACACUCAUUAGCAUGGACUUUGAUAACCUCAUGCGUUAUUGUGUGUGUUGCAUACAGACAGAAGGAAUACAAAAGGUGUAUGUGAUGGUUGUAUUAGCACCUCAAUUAUUGAGUUCCCUGAGCACGUAUCUCUUUGUGUAGAGCUAUAGCUUAGGGCAUUUUAUCUUUUGCUUCUCUCUAUUUAAAACACACUUGAAUACUGGAUUUAUCUCUUAGCUUUAUGGCUUUGGAAAUGUACGACAACGUCCUUUAUAGUCAUUCUCUUAUCUGGUGGAAGGAAAAAUAUUUGCAAGGUGAGGUGGUCUAUUAACCAGUAAGUCAAUAUUCAACCACAUAGUUAUUGCCACACUGAAAAUUAUUCUUAAUAUAAUUUAUUUUCUAUAUAUUUUUAAUCAUAAAUUAUAGUAUAUAAAAUAAGAAAACAACAUUGAAGAUGUUGUUUUCUUCUUUGUUUCUGCAUCAUGAUCCUCCCAUUGAAAAGGGUUGAGAUCCAUCUAAGCAUGAUGUGCAACGCGCAGAUGAAGUAAGCCCUCAUAAAAAGCAAUGUUGUAUGUAAUUAGAGUAUUCUUCCACUAUCCUGCUGCAAUUAAUCACACAGUUUCAAAAGGUUUCUGUAUGUAAAACAUUCCAGUAUAAAUUUUGGUCAUUUGUGGUGGCUUUACACUAUUAUUGCUGCUAAUGUAAUAAAAAAAAAUAGCUAAACUGAAAAUGGUUUCAGAGAAUCCCAAUAACAGGUAAACAUAAAAUUUC